AUUGAACGCUGGCGGCAUGCCUUACACAUGCAAGUCGAACGGUAACGGGCCUUCGGGUGCCGACGAGUGGCGAACGGGUGAGUAAUGUAUCGGAACGUACCUUUCAGUGGGGGAUAACGUAGCGAAAGUUACGCUAAUACCGCAUAUUCUGUGAGCAGGAAAGCAGGGGAUCGCAAGACCUUGCGCUGAUUGAGCGGCCGAUAUCAGAUUAGCUAGUUGGUGAGGUAAAGGCUCACCAAGGCGACGAUCUGUAGCGGGUCUGAGAGGAUGAUCCGCCACACUGGAACUGAGACACGGUCUAGACUCCUACGGGAGGCAGCAGUGGGGAAUUUUGGACAAUGGGGGCAACCCUGAUCCAGCCAUGCCGCGUGAGUGAAGAAGGCC
rnacentral:rRNA from 1 species